AAACCAGCACCUCAAGUGGUCAGGAUGAUUAUUGGGCCUAAAGCAUCCGUAGCCUGCUUUGCCAGUUUUCGGUUAAAUCCAUACGCUUAACGUAUGGGCUGCCGGAAAUACUACAAAGCUAGGGAGUGGGAGAGGUAGACGGUACUCGGGAGGAAGUGGUAAAAUGCUUUGAUCUCUCGAUGACCACCUGUGGCGAAGGCGGUCUACCAGAACACGUCCGACGGUGAGGGAUGAAAGCUGGGGGAGCAAACCGGAUUAGAAACCCCGGUAGUCC
rnacentral:rRNA from 1 species